CAGGGAUUCCCUCAGUAACGGCGAGUGAAGUGGGAACAGCUCAAGCCGUCAAUCUCCGACCUGCGGUCGGCGAAUUGUAGUCUGGAGAAGUGCUAUCCGUGCGACGGUCUGCGGUGCAAGUCGCCUGGAACGGCGCAUCGCAGAGGGUGAGAAUCCCGUCUCCGACUGCGGGCCGCGCGCCACGAGGCACUUUCCUAGAGUCGGGUUGUUUGGGAAUGCAGCCCAAAGCGGGUGGUAAACUCCACCUAAAGCUAAAUACGGGCACGAGACCGAUAGCGAAAAAGUACCGUGAGGGAAAGAUGAAAAGCACUUUGAAAAGAGAGUUAAAGAGUACGUGAAACCGUUGGAGGGGAAGCGAAUGCGGCCAGCAAUGUUGCCGUUGCAGAUUCAGCCGGUCUGCCGGCGAGGCGUCGGACGUCGGAUUCGAAGGAACCGCGCCGGGCGUCGUUCGUCGGCGAGCCGCGUCGUACUUCUGCCGGGAGCGGGUCAACGCCGGUGGGAGGUCGCGUCGUCACGGCACGGUCAGGUGGACGCAGUCGUCGUCGGCCGCGUCGUUAUAGACCGUGUCGGGGCGCGUCGUCCCACCGAGGAGACGGAAUGACGGUGGCGGCACGCGCCGGCCUCGUGUCGGCUAGACGGGGUCGUCGCCCUUCGUCGUCGACGUGCGGACUGCUCGCAGUGAGCGCGUCGGUCGUCGUGGGGAGUCGGCCUGCGGUGGUAAGCGUGCCGAGGGCGUUGGCGGUGAAAUGGCCUCAUCCGACCCGUCUUGAAACACGGACCAAGGAGUCUGGCAUGCGUGCGAGUCCCGGGGUGCGGAAACCCGUCGGCGCAAUGAAAGUGAACGUCUGGGUGAGAGCCGUCGUCGCGUGUGGCGUCGGCGCAUCAUCGACCGACCUCGUCUGCUCCCAGAGAGGUUUGAGUAGGAGCACGCUUGCCGGGACCCGAAAGAUGGUGAACUAUGCCCGAAUAGGGUGAAGCCAGAGGAAACUCUGGUGGAGGCUCGUAGCGAUUCUGACGUGCAAAUCGAU
rnacentral:rRNA from 1 species